AUCAACAAUUAACCAAUGUGGAUGAGUCUUGCUGCAAAAAUUUACAGAAUCUUUUAAGACUUCGCGAACAACUACUUAUAGAUCGAACAAUAUAUUUGAAUUCUUGGUUUGAAAUACAAAAGGAACGGUUAAGGUCUAAAGGAUUUCUGGCACAAAUUUUAAAAGUUAAAGAAAAACAGCAACGACUUAUGCUUAGAAUGGAAGAGGAACGACAAUAUUUAAAAAGAUUACUGCGCUUUCAUAAGGAAAAGUCAAGUUUAGUCACAGGAAAGUCAACAAAUUUGCAAAGCCACUCAAUUUUAAUGAGAUAUCAUAAGCCUUGUUAUCUACCCACGUUUGCAGGAAAAACCUAUAAGGACUUCAACAAAGCAGCUGUGCGUUGCAUACUAUUGCCAUAUGAUAUUUCCAGCUCAGCAAUUUGUAAACAAAUUGUUUGUAAUUUACAAUCAAAAAAGUUCUGGAAACAACUUAAUAAUUUACGGAGCCGAAGAACAAUUAAAGAUGAUUCUACCUGUAGCAAACUUCUUAUUUUCCAAAUUAAUCGCCAAUUCAAAGAUAAGAAAAGGCUUUCAUAUACAAGUUUUGCUGCUGCGCUACUAAAAGCAACUUAUCUUAACGAAAGGAACUUUAUUGAACAAGCAGCCAUAAGAAAGUUAUAUAAAGAUGAUUCUCUUUCAAAACUAAUCGUGAAAUUUACAUCUCUUAAAUCUCAUCAUCCGGUUGCCAGAUCUCUUAAAAUGAGGUGCGAGCAGUGUCCACAGAAAAGUAUAUUUGUUGAUGGAACGAUCGCAAUUUGUAAAGAUGAAGUGGUCCAAAAUACAAAAAGUUCACCCCAUCUAUGCGUUCGUGAACUUCUAAAUUGGUCUCGACGAUGCUUUCUAAGUACAAUUAUGCUAUUGAAUACAGAGCUUGUUCAUUUUCCUCCACCUUCGGAGUGCUAUUUAAGCAAAAGAGAGGGAUCCUAUUCUGAUAUAUACAAGCACUUUAUCCUGGAUAUCACUUUUGAAGCAUUAAAAAGGCACUUGAAAGUUAUUAAGAAAGAUCCUAAAAAUGUGACAUUUUUCAAUAUGCAGAAAUCAAAUAAAAAUUAUUCUUCGAAUCAAAUCAAUCAAAGGCAAUCCGGAUAUCAUUUGGCUCAUCAGGAUCGUUUUGAAAAAAUAUUGAAUAACGAAGUAUAUAAUGAAGACGUACGCUGGCAAAGCCAUCAUUAUAAGGAAUGCGAGCUUCUUAAACUAUUGAUUAAUGAAUUAAUGGUGCAGUAUAUAAAACAGAUUGUUAAGUGUGUAUUGUUCGACAGCUUUUACCAGUGAAUUAUUUGUAUUCCCUUAGUAGUUCAAUCAUGUUAUUUCGGUGUCUCAAUAUACUAAUAAACAUUAUUGUUAUCUUA